UUUUGAACCGAGUCACCCCAGUUCACAGUGCCCGCGCCUGGGAAGUGACCAGGGGGAGUGAAGUAGGCAUGUUGAUUACAGAGCAGCCAGUGUAGAGUAAGAUAGACUCCGGGCUUCCAGGCUCUUCCGGUUCGCAGUCUCUGAUUUGUGACUCCGUUGGAGCAGAUCUUAAUUUUACCUGCAGAUGGUCUACUUAAUAUCUGUCCCACGAGUCUCAAAGUUUUUGCCUUGAUGGAAUCUGAUUAAUAUAGUCAAAUGGCCAUCGCUAGGCUAGUUGAGCCUGUAUAAAUUGUUAAAUAUAAACUGAUAAACAGGGGCUCAUUUUUCCCAACUGGCCCUACUGCUGUGGCAAGAGAAGGGGAACUGCCAGAUUCCGAGCCUGUGCUCUGAAAUCAAUCUUUGAAUUGAAGCGGUACCUCUGCUUCCUAAACGGUGGAACUGUAGCUGUCUGUCUGUGCUUCUCUUCACGUACCUCAGACUGGGCAUCUGGCAGUGACAGGAUGGCCAGAUACCUCUUCUACUUCCAGCCUCAUGCCUGCAUUCCUGGCAGGAAGAAGAAGGGGACAGAAUGAAGCCUACGUGUAUCAGGAAAGCAACCAUUUCCCAGAAAUCUCUGGCAGACUUUUCGAUUAUUUUUCAUCGGCUCUGAAUUCCGUACUUCCCUUUAGAUGUAAGGAAUUUUGGGAAGGUGGCACAUGGUGUCCCUGAAAAGAACGAUUUUUCUUUUAGUAAAGGAUGGGCAGUGACUGGGUAUCCGGCAGUGUCCAUCCAGCAGAGGUUUUUGUUUUGUUUUGUUUUUGCAAAAAUACAACCGGCCAUCUUAAGGGCAUCCCAGGCCAAGAUGCAGGCACCCCUUGAAUUCCUGGGAUUGUGCCAGAACUGGCCGGUGAGGAGCUUGUAUUCUGUAACUUAAGUUUGAAUGGACAAUGGAACAUGCACCUGCGCAGAGGAGAUAUGUGAAAAAGCAUGCUUUCACGUUGACCUGUAGUUGGUGAGCAGUGGGCGGAGCGCCGUUAGCGCGCUCUACACGCCAUACCCGGGACCUGAGUUGGGCUGGGUGUGGUGGUGAUGACGGUGAUGGUGAGGGCAGCCACAGCAGCAGCAGCAGUGGCAGCAGUAGUCACAGCCCUGGAGAGAGGAGGGACCCCAGUGUCAGGAUCCAUGGCAGGAGGCCAGUUUGCCAGUGUGUCUCUGGAGCCCGUCCCUGGGGCACUGGCACAGAUCUUAACUCUUUGGCCAGGAACUCUUAGAGCUCAGGUGGCAAAACUUUGUCAGCAAAAUUAUUACAGAAUGAAAACGUACACAUGGGCAUUUCAACAAAACCUGUUAAGGAGGAAUUAGAAUUCUUCAUAGUUUAAAACCUCUGUUUUUGCUAACUGCUGCAGCACCGUAAAACAAAUAUCCAUAAACUUAGAAACAGAAAUUAAAUGUAACGAUCACACUUCAUGAAAUAGAACGCUAUUUUCCUAUGAAGCAUCAGAUGAAACCGUUUUAAUGAAGAUAAUUUUGAAAUUAGUUUUCCUUUGUAAUUGAAUAUACAGUGAUAGAAUGCAUAAACAAGUAUUUGAAUUAUAUAUAAAUCAUGAAGUCCAUUUCUUGUAUAACCUCCACAAAUUACAGGAAAUGUAAGAGGAAAUGUUAAAAUGCCAUGGUAUAAAUUUACAUUUAAAAUUAAAUUUAGACUGACAUGAAAAUGAUCUGUAUGAAGACAAGUUUUUUCAAAAAAAAUUGUUCUGCAAGAAUCAUCAGCUUUAGAUGUACUAAUAUUUGUAUAUAUAUUUCUAAUAUUUAUAUUUUAAUAUAAUUAAUUGGAAAUUUAUCCCAAUGUUUUCAUAGCCUAUAAAAUACUUUUUUAUGUAAAGUUUAUUUAUUUAUUUUGAGAGAGAAAGAGAGAGAGUGAGAGUGGGGGAGAGGCUGAGAGAGAGAGAGAGAGAGAGAGAGAGAGAACUUCAA